GUUAGUGUGGCAGAGUCCGGACAUUGCAAAAGACCUAAGCUCUUUCGACAGGGGUUCAAAUCCUCUCACCAACU
rnacentral:tRNA from 1 species